UCUCCUCCUCCACUUGGAUCUGAUCGGCGACCGCUAUUGCUUCUCCGCUUGGUGUCUCGGAUGUCCCACAAUCAUCACCAUUGUUGCCAUUUCGAGGAUUUCAGAUCUGCUAACGAAUGACUAUAAUUUUGAUCGCAAGUUGACAAUCUUGGCCUAGAGUGCUUCCGAAGUGGGUUCAUUGAUUUAGGUAUCAAAUACUGUUUUCAAAGGAGAAGAUGAUGGUGGUGGAGAAGCUCUCUUCCUUAUAAGGAAUCGAGGCCAGAGGCUUCAUAAUUUGAUCACCCAUUGCACUAGCUAUUGGUGCAAAGUUUGUCCCACUGAGAAAGCCAAGAAAGUUGCCAG